CCCCUAGAUGUUCUGGGCCGCACGCGCGCUACACUGAACAGUUCAACAAGUCUUAACCUUGGCCGAUAGGUCUGGGUAAUCUUUGAACGCUGUUCGUGAUUGGGAUAGACCAUUGCAAUUAUUAAUCUUCAACGAGGAAUGCCUAGUAAGCGCAAGUCAUCAGCUUGCGUUGAUUACGUCCCUGCCCUUUGUACACACCGCCCGUCGCUCCUACCGAUUGAAUGGUCCGGUGAAGCGUUCGGACCGUGGCCUUUGGACGGUUCGCCGUCUGUUGGCUGCGGGAAGUUCGUUAAACCUUAUCAUUUAGAGGAAGGAGAAGUCGUAACA
rnacentral:rRNA from 1 species